ACUCCUACGGGAGGCAGCAGUGGGGAAUAUUGCACAAUGGGCGCAAGCCUGAUGCAGCCAUGCCGCGUGUGUGAAGAAGGCCUUCGGGUUGUAAAGCACUUUCAGUCGUGAGGAAGGUGGUAGUGUUAAUAGCACUGUCAUUUGACGUUAGCGACAGAAGAAGCACCGGCUAACUCCGUGCCAGCAGCCGCGGUAAUACGGAGGUGCGAGCGUUAAUCGGAAUUACUGGGCGUAAAGCGCAUGCAGGUGGUUGUUAAGUCAGAUGUGAAAGCCCGGGGCUCAACCUCGGAAUUGCAUUUGAAACUGGCAGACUAGAGUACUGUAGAGGGGGUAGAAUUUCAGGUGUAGCGGUGAAAUGCGUAGAGAUCUGAAGGAUACCGGUGGCGAAGGCGGCCCCUGGACAGAUACUGACACUCAGAUGCGAAAGCGUGGGAGCAAACAGGAUUAGAUACCCCUGGUAGCGACUGA
rnacentral:rRNA from 1 species